rnacentral:lncRNA from 1 species
UAUAUUGCUGUACAGACACUUUCCGAUUGAAGUUAUGUAUAAUGAUAAUAUAAGGCAAAAACUUUAGUUACAAAAUGAAAGGUACAAAAAUUACAUCAUAGGUCAUGUCACCCAUGAAGCCAUGAUACAUAAAAGGAGCAACAUAUAAAUAAUAACAAAUCAAAGAACAUCAAAAAGCAUAUAUCACCAUUUAACAGAAGAAUUUCAUGUCAUUUGGCACCUUUUCCUGUGACUGAAGAAAUACUUCUUGUCACUUCAGAACUCUUUGCAUCCUUUCCAGAGGGAUGUGAGAUGCCUCUGGUUAAUUCUGAAUCCAUGCAACGGUUGAUCUCUGGAGACAAUGAUGAUAUGGAUGUUAUAGACGGAGUAAUAGAAUCCGGGGCCAGAAUAGCCACUGGAUGGAAGUUAUGAGGGUUAACUUCGGUGACUUCCUCGUUGUUCUCAUCUAAGUAGACAACAUCCUGCAUUGUAAGCUGGUGAUAUUCAACUACGUCCCUUAGAAAGCAGUUCUCACGAGCAUAAACCGAAUUCUCAUGGGCCAAGCGAGCUUUUUCAGCCAAAAGAGUUUCAAGUUGAAGUCGUAUCUGUAAUGGAAAUGUUGUCAUGAAAAUAUAGAAAGUUUGGUGAAAUAGUAGAAUGUGCAACACACUUGAUGGCUACUAUUCAUGGUUUUAAUGUGCCAAACAUAAAAAUUUGCUGUUUUGGCAUUGUUAUACACUUUUGAUGCUGAAGACUACUGUUAUUAAGGAAAGUCAGAAUAAAACUUCAUCAUAAUAAUCAUACAGAACAAAAAUUCAGGAUUCAGACAAAGGAAGGAAUAAUUAAGACACUCAUUUGAACGAAAUUAAAGCUUCAAAACUACAUAAAUAUAAGGAAAUAUGAUUAUAUUUUAAGAUGAAUGUAGCAAGGCAGAUUAUGUGUAGCACAUUGCACUUUAACCCUUUACAGAAAACAAGUGCUGCAAAACCCAUGCACAGAACAAACUUGUGUACAUCAGUUCUAAAGGGCUCCAAAUUAUGGGCUGCAAGUAAUCAGGUUCUAGACACAACACAUAGCAGUGUUGAAGCUUCCAGGUCUAUACACAAUUGAGACAUCAAGACUAUUUAUAUAUUCAAUUGUAGAGUCAAACCCAAGCUUUAAAAAGAAUCAACUUAACUAUUUAUAUAGUUAGUUCUGCUCAGUUACAUUACAGCCACACCCAACUCUUUCAGACAUUUUGCUUUGAUGCUUUUGAUUCUACCUACCUUAACAGUUAACAUUACGUUUUUUCAUGAUUAAUAUGAGUUUUAAUUCAAGGACCCCAUUACACUGCCGUCAAGGCACAAUCUUAGCAGAGAUACAACCUGAAAGUAAGUUAGAUUAGCGAACAAAUACCCAUUUUUAUUUCUCUCUCUAUAGUUCAUAACAUUUGAAGUUAAGCUGACAAAUAGGCUAACAACAAUCCAAGAAUAAUUCUACCACUGAGACAAGCUGCCAGCUGGGAAUAAGCAGGUGGAUUUUUUUAAAGUAAAACCUUUACUUAAAUGUUUAAAUCCCUGAAAGUAGAAUAAAAUGGUCGCCCAAUGAGCAAACAUUUAUGAGCUUUGAAGAGCGCCGGGUAUAAGCAGCCUUACACUCAUGAGAAGAGAAUUUGAGGAGUUUGACCAGGAACGCCAUAUACAUAAAGGCAGAAUGAAGGCAUAAAAUGGGAGGGGAGAAGGGAAUGUACAACAUAGAAAGUUAUAAAAUAUGCGAGACAAACAUAGGAUGGUAACAUUGUAGUGUUAAAUAUUCAUAAAUACGGGAAUAAUGACAUUAUAAAAAAAAGUGCAUACCAAAUCAUCAUCUUCUUGGUUGUCUCCUCUUUCACGAUUCUCACGCAGUAUUUUAUUUUCUUCCUCUAGCUGAGCACAUCUAUCCUUUGCAAAAGCAAGAUCAGCUUUGACAGUCUUCAACUCCCGAAGAAGCAGUUUUGCUUUUGUAGCCAUUGCCAUUGCAACCUGCCACAAAAACAACAGGCAAACAAUGCAUUCAAUUCAGAUAUAUCACAGAAGCUUGUAACUGAUGAUGAUAUCAACCUGAUACCAUUUUGGGAAUGAUUUUUUGAUUUUUCCCUAAACAUUCAUAUUUUCAUCAGAAUCGAAAAAAUUCUUUAUAAGAACAGUAAUGACAAAGAAAUUAGUUUAGCAUUGAUCUUUACUUCAGCUUUCAGGUUCUACAAAGAUGAGCUUCAAAAAAUAAUGGUCCUGUUAAGCUUUAUGGUCCUGAAGCUUUUUAAGAACAUUUAUAGGUUUUGAAAAUAAAUUUGGUGGUUAUUGAACUUGGCUAAUCAAAGGUGGAAAGCUGACUGCAUUUAACAGAUAUAUUCAACAGAACCUAAAGGGAAGCAACAUUAAGGGGAAUUUGAACAUGUUAAAUGCUAGUACACAUUUAUGGUUUAGAUGAGGAAAAAAUAAGGGCUCCGUAAUGUCUAGAAAAGGUUACAAUGCUACUUUAUGGUUGCAGUUAAAGACAUGAAACUGCUUAUGAAAAAAUUGAACAAGCUAAUGCUUUUAGUAAAACCUUUUUCUCCAAACUGGAGAAAUAAACUAAACAAUCAUUACAAGUUAAACACCUUCUAUGGCAUAAUAUGUUUGUGAAGAUGUAUGAUCAAGGCACUAUAUAUAUAUAUAUAUAUAUAUAUAUAUAUAAUAAAAGAAAAAGGNNNNNNNNNNNNNNNNNNNNNNNNNNNNNNNNNNNNNNNNNNNNNNNNNNNNNNNNNNNNNNNNNNNNNNNNNNNNNNNNNNNNNNNNNNNNNNNNNNNNUAUAUAAUAAAAGAAAAAGGGUUGCUUUCUAUUUGUCUACAACACUCCUUACCUAUAAAUUCAGUCACUGCUCUGCUGUUACAAUCUAAUAUUUCAGAUUUAAAAUAACAACAACCAAGUAUUUAUCUCAUUAAAUGGGGUCAGUUAAAGUGAAUUGAACGAUGACAUGAUACUCUAUCAUAAAUCAUGUUCAUUGACAAAAUAUUGAUCUCUGAGUCUUUCUUUAUCAUUUCCCUUAUGGUUUUUCUUGGUUUGCCUCUUUCUCUAGAAAUUGGACUAGUUUCAAUUUGAUCUACUCUCCUUGCAGGGGCUUCUACCGGUCUCCUCCGCACAUGUCCAAACCAACUAAAACACAAUUCUACUUUUUUUAUAAUAGGAGCUACUCCAACUUUCACCUUAAUGCAUUACUUUCUAAUUUUAUCUUGACUAGUGUGUCCACUCAUCUAACGCAACAUUCUCAUCUCUACUACAUGAAGCCUAUUCUCUUGUUGAAAUUUUAUCGCUCCAACAUUCAGUCCAUAUAACAUUGUAGGUCUUACAAUCAUGCGGUAAAAUUUCCUCUUAAACUUGAGUACUAUAUUUUUAUCACAAAUGACACCCGAAUAACUUCGUCAUUUCAUUAUCCAACCCGCAUGAAUCAUAUGGUUUGCAUCUUCGUCAAUUUCCUUAUCAUCUUGUAUGAAUGACCCAAUAUACAUAAAUCUAGUAACUUAUAGUAUGAUAUUAUCCUCAAUAUUUACCUCUACAAUAGAAUUUGUUCGUCUCUUGCUAUACUUACACUUCAUAUGUUGUCUUACUUUGACUUAUACGAAAUUCAGGUGCUUCUAAAGCUUGUCUCCACAUUUCUAACUUUUUUUUAAUUCUUCUCUCGAAUCUCCCACUAAGACAAUAUCAUCUACAAAGAACAUGCAUAAUGGCACUGGUUCUUGGAUAUGUUGAGUGAGCACAUCCGAGACCAACUUAAACAAGUAGGGGCUCAAUGUUGAACCUUGAUGUAGCCCGAUGGCAAUAGGAAAAAUCUUUUGAGACCUCAUCUUGUAUUCUCACAUUAGUCUUGACCCAUCAUACAUAUCAUUGAUUGCUCAAAUAUAGGUAAUGUGAACACAUUUCUUCUCUAGAGCAUUCCACAAAAUCUCCUUAGGCACCUCAUCAUACGCCUUCUCCAAAUCAAUGAAGAUCAUGUGCAGGCUUCUUUAGUUCAUUUGAUAUCUUUCCGUAAAUCGUCGUAACAAAUAUAUAGUCUCCAUGGUUAAACAACACAACAUAAACCCAAUUUGAUUUUCAAAGAUAUUCGUUUCUUGUCUCAAGCUUCGCUCAUUAUCCUCUCCCAUAGCUUCAUAGUAUGACUCAUGAGCUUAACCCCCUAUAGUUUUCACAAUUUUGUAUCUCGAUCUUGUUCUCAUAAAUAGUGAUUAAGAUGCUUCUUCUCUACUUGUCUAGCAUAUUCUUAGUCUUUAUUAUCUCAUUAAACAACUUUGUAAGCUAUCUAAUGCCUCGCUCUCCUAGAACUUUCUAGACCUCAAUAGAUAUAUUAUCUGGUCCAACUGCUUUGUCAUUCUCCAUCCUUUUUAAAGCUUCUUUCAUUUUCAACUUUCGAGUUCUACGAUAGAAAGUAUAACUUUGAUCCUUCUCUUUCAUGUAGUUUAUCAUAAAGCAAGGAAUCAAGUCUCUCAUUGAAAAGCUUGUGAAUAUAGUUCUUCCAUCUUUAUCUUUCACCAAGACUUUUUCAUUUUUGUAUUUAAUGCAUUUCACUUGAUCCAAGUCUCUUGUAUUUCUUUCCCUACCCUUUGCAAGUCUGUAGACACUUCUUUCAACCUUGUAGAACCCAUCAUACACUUUAUAUUUAGCUUUGCUUACUACUUUCUUGCUCUAUGUUUUAAUUGUGUCUUAGACACCUUUGUUCCAUCACCACGAUUCUUUACCCUUUGAUCCAAAGCCUCUAGAUUCACCUAGUAUCUCCUCUCCUAUCUUCCUAAUUCUUUUGAUCAUCUCCUCCCACAUAUCAUUAGCAUUUCCUUCUACCUCCCAAAAUCCUUUGAUUUCAUAUUUAAAAAGAAAAAUAAAAGUGCUAGAACCUAGAAGAGAAAUAAGAAUACAUGUUUUUGUAACUGGACAAGUGUAUAUCCAACUUUUUUGAUAAAAAAGAAGAAAAAUUAUAUAUGGUAAUUUUAAAAGGCAACCCAGUUCAUAGGCUCCCACCUAGUGGGGUCUAAGGAGAGUAGAUAUAUACAGUCUUACACACAAAAAUUAAGUCGCUAUCCCACUAGGUGUGGUUAGCUACUUGGCUACAUAGAUUGAACGACGCCAUAAUACUAUAUCAUAAAUCAUAUUCAUUGAUAAAACAUUGAGCUCUAAGUCUUUCUUUAUAAUUUUCCUUAUGGUUUUUCUUGGUCUCUCUCUUCCUCUAGGAAUUAGAGUAGUUUUUAUAUCUACUCUUCGUACGGGGGCUUCUACCGAUUUCCUCCACACAUGUCCAAAUCACUUAUAAGGCAUGGUUCCAUCACCUUUUCUACAAUAGGAGUUACUCUAACUUCCUCCCAGAUGCAUUCGUUUCUAAUUCUAUAUUGUCUAGUAUACUCACUAAUCCAACAUUGUAAUCUUUACUACAUGAAGUUUAUUGUCUUGUUGACAUUUAACACCCAACAUUCAAUUCCAUAUGACAUUAAAGGUCUUAUAGACGUGCGGUAAAACUUCAUUUUAAGCUUGAAUAAUACUUUUUUAUUACACAAGGUAAUUUAAAUAUUUUUACUUUUUAGAAAAAGAAAGUAGGAAAUAAUCAUACUCCAAGGUUUAUAAUCCAAUCCUAUCAAAUACACAUAUAAAUAGAUAUGCAAUCAAAUAAUUCAUUUUUUUUUUAAUAAAUGUGUACUUUGUCAGGUACUUGUGUUUUGAUUUUGUUGCCAUUUUCUCCGUUUCAGGACAAACUGAAACUCGUACCCAGUAUCCAUGUCUUUACAUCAUACCUGAAUAUGAUUUCUUUGUUUUCUAAUAUAGAAGCUUUGAUAAACUAGUGCACCCAAUUUUCCAUUUUUUCUUUUCUAAAGUUUAAGUUCAAUCAAAUUUCAAAUCAAGAGAAUCUUAGAAGGCAAGAUAUUCACAGCCACAAUAAAUAUAAGUAAGCAAUACAUUUUACUAAAAACACAAGGAAAGAAUAGAAGGGAGAUAAUUUAACAACAAACAAGGAGAAAGAUUGCUGCACUUUAUAUAUUGCACUGCUUAACCACACAAUGACACAAGUACUUUUAUCACAUUAAAAAGUGAUACAUAGUUGGCACCUUACGUCGCGAGAUGCCUUCAGUUGAAGAUCUUGGUCUGUUUGCACUGGUGGCAUCUGGGUCCGCAAUUGGGAUUGUUGCGACGUAGUAGAAUGGUUUAUCUCCUGAUUCUGUCCAACAGAGUUGCCAGGCUUUUUCCUGAUAUGUUUACGAGUUUCCUGAAUUAUAUCUGAAGUCCUAUUCUCAACAAUUGUAAAACCCUCCUGCACACAUAAAUCAGCAUGAGUAUUAAUAAGAUCACAAGUCAUACUAGGAAGGGAACAAGCGCGAAAAAGAAAUUUGUGCAAGCAGCUCAAUAAGAAUAAACAACUACAACCUGCCAUAAUACAUUUCAUAUCUAUCAACAAAAGCCUAAGCCCAAAAGGAAAAAGAAAAAGAAUUAAGGAGAAAAAAAAUAGAUGGUAUAUUAAAGAGAAGAAAGACACCCAUGAAGAAAAGAUGAGCUAAUGAUUAUGACUAUAUUACACAGAAAGUUAAUUGAUUAGCAAAAAUGUUCAUAUCAAUGCUCACCUCCAAUGAUUUACCAAUGGUGCCACCAAUAUGGUUAAGAGAAGAUGCGAAAGCAUCUAAUCCCUUCAAAAAUGUUGGAGUUCCCUUUUUGAGAUUGUUCUCCUCAAAGUGAUUUGAACUUUGGAACUACACAGAGAAUGACAAUAGCAUCCAACUUUACAGUUAAAAAAAUUAACAAGCAGUUAAUCACUUGUUGAAUGCAAAGAUUAUGAAAAUAGUUUAAUUUCAAAAACAUGAAAUGCACAUGAUUUAGAAGCAUAUGCCUUUUGUAUAAAUCAGAGUAAGACAAAGCAUAUGGAGUGUAUGUUUAGCAAAUGACGGACAAAGCUCUACUAUAGAAGUAAAGAUUGAAGACCAUACCAUCCCAUAAGGUACAAGAUUUAAGUAUAUUGGGUUAAUCAUAAAACACAAAAGGGAAAUUGUGGGAGAAGUAGAUCAUGGGAUUCAAGCGAGGUGGAUGAAAUGGUGGAGUUCAUCAAGUAUCAUAUAUACUAUAAGUGUAUCACUCAAUCUGAAAGGGAAAUUUUGCAGGACAGACACACAAUGUCAUAUUAGAUUCAAUGUUCGAUAGUAAAAUGUCAACAAGAGAAUAAGCUCAAUGUAACAGAUAUGAGAAUAUUGUGUUGGAUGAGUGACACACUAGACAAGAUAAGAUUAGGAAUGAUGCAUUAGGAAUUGGGUAACUCCUAUUGUAGAAAAGAUAGUAGAAUCAUGUCUUAGGUUAUUUGGGCAUGUGUGGAGGAUACUGUUAGAAGCCCCCAACAAGAAGAGGAUAUCAAAUGGAGAUUAGUUCAAUUUCUAGAGGCAGAGAGAGACCAGAAAAAGCAAGAAGCGGAACUAUUAGAAAAUAUUUAGAGAUUGAAGUUUUUUCAAUGGACACGAUUUCUGAUAGAGCAUUAUGGCAUCGUUCGAUCCAUGUAGUCAACACCAUCUAAUGGGACUAAGGCUUAAUUGUUGUUGAAAUGCAUACAGUGUAUAUGGCCCCGCUUUGGUGUUCUGCUAAUAGUUAUUUACUUAACUGAGUUACCGCUUCAGAAUAAGAUACAUAUUGACCAGCUUAGCUGCAUUCAAUUUUCCUUGUACUCCAAUGUAUUUUCUAGGAUUUCUUAUCCUCAUUUUACUUGUACUUCCCUCCGUUGGUUCUAUCUGACAAACCUUCUCUGUCUAAAAUAAUUAAGAGUAAACAAGUAAAGUGCAGAUAAGAAAACCUCUUUGGGACUACCCCUUAACGCUCCAGUCUAAAUAGUCACACCUUUUGUCCAAGAUGUGUGUCUCUUCCAAAAAGCAAUGCAUCUUUUUUCUUGCGAACAACUAAAACAACAAAUUUUACUAUAAUAUGAUGAUUUACAAUUAUCAUUAUGAGUUACAAAUCAUAUCAAACUUGUUAAAAAAAUUGUUACAAAUCACAUCAAACUUUUUUUGUGGCAUAACAAAUAAAAUAAAGCAACAUCCUUGCUGAGGAUAUGUGAUGUAAUUAUGAACUCACCUUUUCCCUAGAUGCUACACCAGGCAAAUGUGACCUCGAUAUGGCAGGCAUUUCAGAAUGCCUGGUUGCAUUAUCAUCCUCAACAAUUGAUUUGGCUUUUCUGGCCAGAACACCCCAAAAUCCAUUUUUGGUUUGAUUCAAGCUUUUCAGAGAUGUAAAUUCAUAAGAUCUUGAAUCCUAUAUUUACAAACAAUGCAGCAUGUUUAGCAAAAAGAGACUAUCAUUUUGAAGCAACAAAAUGAUACAUUCAACGGAAUCGAAGAAUACAAAUAGAAGGGAAAUGAAGAGAGAGAGAGAGAGAGAGAGAGGGAAACCAUAAUUUAGACAUGCAUUUCUGCUGAUCAAAUGAUCAAUACAUUUAUAUUAAAAAAAUCAGCAUUAGAUUUAUGUUUUGUGCCCAAAAUUGUAGCAGAUAAGUCUGGCGAAUAUUGACAUCUAGUUUUUUAGUUUAAAUAAAUUGGAACUGGAAUUAUAUGGACAUCAAGAAAGCAGUGGUAACAUGAGUUAAUAUCUAAAAUGGAAUUCAUCAAAGAGGAAUAAAAAUGAAGAUGUAAGGCGUCAUAGAACAAUAGAGAUAUAUAGCAAACCAUUGAGCACUUGAAGGCCAUACAUAGCUGACUAUCUAGAAUGAAUAAAAAUAUUCCGAGAUGGCAGACAUUCCAUACACUAAUUAGGUUUUGAUACCAUUUACAUUGCCAAUGUUAGCAUUACAACUGCAAUGCUAAAAUGUACCAUUAACACUGGUGGCAUGCUUAGUUACUAUCCGUGUUUGAAAUUAUACUCCGCAACCACAAUUGUAAUCGCAAUAUUGAAGUUUCAAGAGUCUCCGCAACGGCAGCAUCAUCAUCGCAAUUGCAGCCGGCAGCAUCAUCACCACAAUUGCAGCCGCAUUGGCCACAUUUUGUCUAUAAUUGCAGUAAACACAACAUAACAGCAAUUAAAACACAAUCACUUGUUACUAUAAAAUGGUCAUGAUACCACAACUUUUCAGAUUCAUGUUUUUCCAAUAUAAUUUUUGUAGAAAAUAAAAAUUCUAAACUUGACUCUAUAAUAUAGUAAUGUUAAGGACUAUGCCACUAUGGUAAAGUGGAAUGCAGAAAUUUUUAGCUUUCUGCCAUAGGAAUACCUUUCCACAACAUUGCCUUUCUGUUCUUAAAAUUUCUUCUCUAUAUGAAGAAAACAAUCCUAAUAUCCUAUCAGACACAAUAAUCACAGAAAUUAAUUGCAAUUAAAUACAAUAUGGAUUGAAUAUUCAUUGAAAUGGAGAGAGAAAAGGAAGAAAAAACACCUCACGAGACAUUGGAGUGGGUUGAGGAAGAUUAAGUUGAGGUGCAUUGGAAGAGAGGUUGGAGUGACCGUAGAGAGAAGAGAGAGAAGAAUCGCAACGAGCCGAAGAAGCUCUAAUGGCUUUUGCAGCAAGCGAAGACGACGACGUAUCAAUCUCAUUAGGCAAAUUUGAAGAAGAAGGAACAACAGGAUCAGGAUUAGGGUUUGGAAUCUCUUGUUGUGAGAAAUCUUCAAAGGUUGAAAGGUUAUUCUGUCUCCUUCUAUAGGCCAUUUCACAAACACUUGGAUCAAAUCGCAGAGUUAAUGAAUUUGGAUUAGCGAGAAGUGAAGAAUGAAACGGUGUUACGGUGCUAGCAUCACCAUCAUCCUCGCAACUUCGAUCUUCGCCGAUUCGUCAAUGCUACCUCCUUCUUGAAUCCAGAUCCUAUCAUCAACCUCAGUGUCAAAUAUAAUAAAUAAAAAGUAAUAAUUUAUAUAUAUAUUAUUUCACGUUAAGUUUAUUACAUGUAUAAAAUUAUUUUAUUAUAUAUAAUAUAUUAUAUAUUUAAAUAAAUUCUAUUUAUGUCAAUAAAUUUAUUGAAUUAAAAACUUCCUCAAAACUAAGUAAAAAAUUUAUGAUAUAUUAAUAAUCUACCUUUAUAUUAUAUAUAGUUACUGUAAAUAAAUCAAUAGCUAGGUGGCAUAAUUUUAUUAAUUUUUAUAAAUAAAUUGACGCGGAUAAAAGUGAUUCAUCUUUUAAAAAACAAAUAAAUUAGACCAAAUAAUUAUUUUUGAAUUAGAGAUAAGAAUGUUAACAUUUGUUAUCAAAUUUUUAAAAUUUGUGAAAAACAUUCUUAUCAUAUGUUAAUUUAAAAUGGUAUAUUCUCUAUUACAAGGUUUUUCAAAUUCAAUAUAAAGAGAUAGAGUGGUGUCCGGUUAAAAAGACGCACAAAAAACAAGAGAAAAUACAAAACAAGAUUUUAUAUCUUACUUUUUAUAUUUAGAAAAAGUUAGUUGAAGACAACUUUAACGCAUCACAUUUGAAAAUAUUUAAUUAUAAUCUAACAAAUAAUUAAAUUGUUGCUCUCAUUAUAUCAAAUCAUUAUAUACGAGAUCAGAAGAUAGGAAAUAGAAAGACAAGAAGGAGAGAGAAAGGGGGGAACCUGAGUUAAUGUAGUGAGAUCCGUAAUUUAAUGAUUUGUGAAAUUAUGAUUAAGUAUCUCUAAAUGUGAUGUAUUAAGGUUAUCUCUAACCAAGUUUUUUUUUCCACAUAUAUAUUUGUAACCCACAUACAACUAUAAGUCAUUGUCAUGUGUCAACUCUCAAACUACAACACAUGUCAUUCUUAUACCUUAGUCGCUAGACAACUAUCAAGUUGUUACUACAUAUCACUUCCACAAUAUGAUACAUAUAAGUCAUUAAACAAGUGUGAAGAUGAUAUGUGUGACAAAUACAAUUCAUGUCUCGUAAUAAAUAACUCUCCAUGUAAAUGUCAAUUUAAAAAAAAACAUUUGUAUUUCUUUUAUUUAUAUAAUUAAUUAAUAAUUAACUUUAUUUUAAUAACUAAUUUAUUAAAUAAAUAUUUAAUAUUUUUUUUAUUUUAAUAAAUGAUAAUAAAUAUUGUUAAAGUAAAAAAAUUAAUUUAACUUUAUAAAUAAUAAAUAUUUUAUUUUAUAAUUAAUUAAAUAGUUCUUGAUUUUUUAUUUUUUUAUAAAAGAUAUUAAAUAUUAUUAUUUUAGAAAUAAAAAAGUAUUAAUAAUUAAAUAAUUAAGAUUUGACAAUAAUAACAUUAAAUAUUUACUUAAUGAUAAAUAAUAAUAUUAAAAAAACUAAAAUAAAUAUGAAUAACUUAUUAAUUAAUUUUAGAAACAAAAAUCAACAAUCACAAAUAAAUAUUCAUUUUUAAAGACUUUAUGCAUAUUCAUUUUUAAGAGGAACAUGUCUUUGAGCGUGCUCUGCACCAGAUGUCAUUCUGGUAAUGAAGAGUUUAUGUAUAUUUUCAAGGACUGUCGGAUGUCUUUAGGCAUUUAGAAGAGACUUGGCUUCAACAAGCCUUCUUUCUAGGUUGACUACUCCUUUCGAUUAUGGGUGAUGGAUAAUUACAAGCAUUACAAUGGUAUUCUCUCCAUGAUAAGUAUUUGGUGGACUUGAAGGUGAAGAAAAUAAUUCCAUCUUUAGUAACAACUCAUGAGGUAUUAACUUCGUCACUCAAAAUAUUUAUCAUGAUUUUUAUGAGGGCACAAUUUAGGGCAAAAUGUCCUUUUAAAUGAUAACACUUCCCUAGUUCAAUGAUGAUGCCCUAUUCCUAGUCAAGUGAAACUCAAUAUUGAUGAUGGUUUUAUAAAAUGAACUAAUAUUAUGAGUAGGGUGGUGCUAUUCGUGAUCAUGAGGGUCGUUGGUUAUAUGGUUUUUUCGCCAACUUUGGGGUAGGUUCUCCCAUCAUUGCUAAGCUCUUGGCUAUGGAGCAUGGUUUGAAUCUAGCUUGGAACUUGGGCUUCAAUGAGAUUAUUCUUGAGAUUGAUUGUCUUUAAGUGGUGUAGAUUAUACUUGAUGGUGUUUGUAUUUGCUUGGACAAUAUUUUGCUUAAUGUUUCAAAUGUUCGUGCUUGGUUAACUCUUAAUUGGACAGUUGGAGUAAAAUUUGUUGUCAGAAAGGUUAACAUAGUAGUAGAUUUUAUGGCUAAGCUUGGGUCGCACUCGCCUACUUAGUCGUCAGCUCCGUAAGACUAUCUACCUUAUAUAGACAUUGAUCUCUCUCCUCUUUUUUAGUUUUUGUUUAUCCUUUCAUUGUACCAAAAAAAGAGCUAUGAGUUCAUAUUGGAAAAUAUAUCAUUUUUCAUAGUUUCAACCAAGACUCUAUUGUAUUAUUUUAUAUUAUUACAAAAUAUUGUUGAAGGGGCAUUUUUAAAAAAAAAAACUCUAAUAAAAUUAUUAUAAAAUAUAAAGAAUUUUAUUAUCAUUAACUAUGUCAAUUAUGUUACCCAAUUAAAUUACUAAUGAACAUAUGACGACUAAGCAUGUGUUCGUGGAAGAUUUACCAAUGAAUGAUAAAUAAUAUAGUAACAAUAUAAAAAGUCUAAUAAAGUUAAGAGUGUAACAAAUGUAUUAUGCUAGUAUAAAGAUUUAUACAUAAUCAAUAUAUCAUUGAUCUUUCAUUUGUAUUACUCUUAUUUUGGAGUUAAUUGUGAUUAAAUAUGAACGGUGGAUGAUAUCGUGUCAGUGGCAAAAACUAUCAUUUACGCACACACACACAGAUAUAUANNNNNNNNNNNNNNNNNNNNNNNNNNNNNNNNNNNNNNNNNNNNNNNNNNNNNNNNNNNNNNNNNNNNNNNNNNNNNNNNNNNNNNNNNNNNNNNNNNNNUAGGAUGAAGCGGAGGAGGAGGAGGAGGAGGAGGAUGAGGAUGAGGAAAACAUGGGGACGAGAAUGAUAAUGAGGAUAGGAUGAGGAUGAGGAUAGGAUUAGGACGAGAAUGAGGCUGAGAACUAGGACAGGAUAAGGUUGAGAAUGAGGAUGAGGAUAGGAUGAGGAGUAGGAUGAGGAUGAGGAAGUGGAUGAGGAUGAGGAUGAGGAUAGGAUGAGGAUGAGGAUGAGGAUAGGAUGAGGAUGAGGAUGAGGAUAGGAUGAGGAUGAGGAUAGGAUUAGGACGAGAAUGAGGCUGAGAACUAGGACAGGAUAAGGUUGAGAAUGAGGAUGAGGAUAGGAUGAGGAUGAGGAUAGGAUUAGGACGAGAAUGAGGCUGAGAACUAGGACAGGAUAAGGUUGAGAAUGAGGAUGAGGAUAGGAUGAGGAUGAGAAUGUGGAAGAGGAUGAGGAUGAGGAAGAGGAUGAGGAUGAGGAUAGGAUGAGGACGAGGAUGAGGACGAGGAUGAGUACGUGGAUGAGUACGUGGAUGAGGAUUCGAAGAGGACGAGAAUGAGGAUGAGGAUAGGAUGAGGAGUAGGAUGAGGAUGAGGAUGAGGAUAGGAUGAGGAUGAGAANNNNNNNNNNNNNNNNNNNNNNNNNNNNNNNNNNNNNNNNNNNNNNNNNNNNNNNNNNNNNNNNNNNNNNNNNNNNNNNNNNNNNNNNNNNNNNNNNNNNAUGAGGACGAGGAUGAGGAUAGGAUGAGGACGAUAAUGAGGAUGAGGAUGAGGAUAGGAGGAGGAUAAGGAUUAGGACGAGGAUGAGGAUAGGAUGAGAAUGAAGAUAGAAUGAGGCUUAGAAUAGGAUCGAGAUAGGAUGAGGAUAAGGAUUAGGAUAGGGUGAGGAUGAAGAUGAGGAUGAGAAUGAGAAUGUGGAAGAGGAUGAGGAUAGGAAGAGGUCGAGGGUGAGGAUGAGGAAGAGGAGACGAAUAGGAUGAGGACGAGAAUGAGGAUGAGGAUAGGAUGAGGAUGAGGAUGACGAAGAGGAAGAGGAUGACGAUGAGGAUGAGGAUAGGAUGAGGACGAGGACGAGGAUGAAGAUAGGAUGAGGAUAAGAAUGAGGAUGAGGAUGAGGAUAANNNNNNNNNNNNNNNNNNNNNNNNNNNNNNNNNNNNNNNNNNNNNNNNNNNNNNNNNNNNNNNNNNNNNNNNNNNNNNNNNNNNNNNNNNNNNNNNNNNNGGACGAGAAUGAGAAUGAGGAUAGGAUGAGGAUGAGGAUAGGAUGGGCAAGAGGAAGAGGAUGAGGAUGAGGAUAGGAUGAGUAUGAGGGUGAGGAUGAGGACGAGGAUGAGGAUAAGAAGAGAACGAGAAUGAGGAUGAGGAUGAGGAUGAGGAUUGGGAUGAGGAUGAGGAUAGGAUCGGGAUGAGGAUGAGAAUGAGGAAUAGGAUAGGAUUAGACUGACAAUGAGGAUAGGAGGAGGAUGAGAAUGAGGAUAGGAUGANNNNNNNNNNNNNNNNNNNNNNNNNNNNNNNNNNNNNNNNNNNNNNNNNNNNNNNNNNNNNNNNNNNNNNNNNNNNNNNNNNNNNNNNNNNNNNNNNNNNAUCCUCCUCCUCAUCCUCCUCCUCAUCCUAUCCUCGUCGUCAUCCAAUCCUCAUCCUCACUCUCGUCCUCAUCCUCACUCUCGUCCUCAUCCUCUUGCUCAUCCUCAUCCUAUCCUCGUCGUCAUCCUCAUCCUCAUCUCGAUCCUAUCUUCAUCCUCUUCCUAUCCUCAUCCUCGUCCUCUUCCUAUCCUCAUCCUCGUCCUCUUCCUAUCCUCAUCCUCGUCCUCUUCCUAUCCUCAUCCUCGUCCUCUUCCUAUCCUCAUCCUCGUCCUCUUCCUAUCCUCAUCCUCGUCCUCUUCCUAUCCUCAUCCUCGUCCUCUUCCUAUCCUCAUCCUCGUCCUCUUCCUAUCCUCAUCCUCGUCCUCUUCCUAUCCUCAUCCUCGUCCUCUUCCUAUCCUCAUCCUCGUCCUCUUCCUAUCCUCAUCCUCGUCCUCUUCCUAUCCUCAUCCUCGUCCUCUUCCUAUCCUCAUCCUCGUCCUCUUCCUAUCCUCAUCCUCGUCCUCUUCCUAUCCUCAUCCUCGUCCUCUUCCUAUCCUCAUCCUCGUCCUCUUCCUAUCCUCAUCCUCGUCCUCUUCCUAUCCUCAUCCUCGUCCUCUUCCUAUCCUCAUCCUCGUCCUCUUCCUAUCCUCAUCCUCGUCCUCUUCCUAUCCUCAUCCUCGUCCUCUUCCUAUCCUCAUCCUCGUCCUCUUCCUAUCCUCAUCCUCGUCCUCUUCCUAUCCUCAUCCUCGUCCUCUUCCUAUCCUCAUCCUCGUCCUCUUCCUAUCCUCAUCCUCGUCCUCUUCCUAUCCUCAUCCUCGUCCUCUUCCUAUCCUCAUCCUCGUCCUCUUCCUAUCCUCAUCCUCGUCCUCUUCCUAUCCUCAUCCUCGUCCUCUUCCUAUCCUCAUCCUCGUCCUCUUCCUAUCCUCAUCCUCGUCCUCUUCCUAUCCUCAUCCUCGUCCUCUUCCUAUCCUCAUCCUCGUCCUCUUCCUAUCCUCAUCCUCGUCCUCUUCCUAUCCUCAUCCUCGUCCUCUUCCUAUCCUCAUCCUCGUCCUCUUCCUAUCCUCAUCCUCGUCCUCUUCCUAUCCUCAUCCUCGUCCUCUUCCUAUCCUCAUCCUCGUCCUCUUCCUAUCCUCAUCCUCGUCCUCUUCCUAUCCUCAUCCUCGUCCUCUUCCUAUCCUCAUCCUCGUCCUCUUCCUAUCCUCAUCCUCGUCCUCUUCCUAUCCUCAUCCUCGUCCUCUUCCUAUCCUCAUCCUCGUCCUCUUCCUAUCCUCAUCCUCGUCCUCUUCCUAUCCUCAUCCUCGUCCUCUUCCUAUCCUCAUCCUCGUCCUCUUCCUAUCCUCAUCCUCGUCCUCUUCCUAUCCUCAUCCUCGUCCUCUUCCUAUCCUCAUCCUCGUCCUCUUCCUAUCCUCAUCCUCGUCCUCUUCCUAUCCUCAUCCUCGUCCUCUUCCUAUCCUCAUCCUCGUCCUCUUCCUAUCCUCAUCCUCGUCCUCUUCCUAUCCUCAUCCUCGUCCUCUUCCUAUCCUCAUCCUCGUCCUCUUCCUAUCCUCAUCCUCGUCCUCUUCCUAUCCUCAUCCUCGUCCUCUUCCUAUCCUCAUCCUCGUCCUCUUCCUAUCCUCAUCCUCGUCCUCUUCCUAUCCUCAUCCUCGUCCUCUUCCUAUCCUCAUCCUCGUCCUCUUCCUAUCCUCAUCCUCGUCCUCUUCCUAUCCUCAUCCUCGUCCUCUUCCUAUCCUCAUCCUCGUCCUCUUCCUAUCCUCAUCCUCGUCCUCUUCCUAUCCUCAUCCUCGUCCUCUUCCUAUCCUCAUCCUCGUCCUCUUCCUAUCCUCAUCCUCGUCCUCUUCCUAUCCUCAUCCUCGUCCUCUUCCUAUCCUCAUCCUCGUCCUCUUCCUAUCCUCAUCCUCGUCCUCUUCCUAUCCUCAUCCUCGUCCUCUUCCUAUCCUCAUCCUCGUCCUCUUCCUAUCCUCAUCCUCGUCCUCUUCCUAUCCUCAUCCUCGUCCUCUUCCUAUCCUCAUCCUCGUCCUCUUCCUAUCCUCAUCCUCGUCCUCUUCCUAUCCUCAUCCUCGUCCUCUUCCUAUCCUCAUCCUCGUCCUCUUCCUAUCCUCAUCCUCGUCCUCUUCCUAUCCUCAUCCUCGUCCUCUUCCUAUCCUCAUCCUCGUCCUCUUCCUAUCCUCAUCCUCGUCCUCUUCCUAUCCUCAUCCUCGUCCUCUUCCUAUCCUCAUCCUCGUCCUCUUCCUAUCCUCAUCCUCGUCCUCUUCCUAUCCUCAUCCUCGUCCUCUUCCUAUCCUCAUCCUCGUCCUCUUCCUAUCCUCAUCCUCGUCCUCUUCCUAUCCUCAUCCUCGUCCUCUUCCUAUCCUCAUCCUCGUCCUCUUCCUAUCCUCAUCCUCGUCCUCUUCCUAUCCUCAUCCUCGUCCUCUUCCUAUCCUCAUCCUCGUCCUCUUCCUAUCCUCAUCCUCGUCCUCUUCCUAUCCUCAUCCUCGUCCUCUUCCUAUCCUCAUCCUCGUCCUCUUCCUAUCCUCAUCCUCGUCCUCUUCCUAUCCUCAUCCUCGUCCUCUUCCUAUCCUCAUCCUCGUCCUCUUCCUAUCCUCAUCCUCGUCCUCUUCCUAUCCUCAUCCUCGUCCUCUUCCUAUCCUCAUCCUCGUCCUCUUCCUAUCCUCAUCCUCGUCCUCUUCCUAUCCUCAUCCUCGUCCUCUUCCUAUCCUCAUCCUCGUCCUCUUCCUAUCCUCAUCCUCGUCCUCUUCCUAUCCUCAUCCUCGUCCUCUUCCUAUCCUCAUCCUCGUCCUCUUCCUAUCCUCAUCCUCGUCCUCUUCCUAUCCUCAUCCUCGUCCUCUUCCUAUCCUCAUCCUCGUCCUCUUCCUAUCCUCAUCCUCGUCCUCUUCCUAUCCUCAUCCUCGUCCUCUUCCUAUCCUCAUCCUCGUCCUCUUCCUAUCCUCAUCCUCGUCCUCUUCCUAUCCUCAUCCUCGUCCUCUUCCUAUCCUCAUCCUCGUCCUCUUCCUAUCCUCAUCCUCGUCCUCUUCCUAUCCUCAUCCUCGUCCUCUUCCUAUCCUCAUCCUCGUCCUCUUCCUAUCCUCAUCCUCGUCCUCUUCCUAUCCUCAUCCUCGUCCUCUUCCUAUCCUCAUCCUCGUCCUCUUCCUAUCCUCAUCCUCGUCCUCUUCCUAUCCUCAUCCUCGUCCUCUUCCUAUCCUCAUCCUCGUCCUCUUCCUAUCCUCAUCCUCGUCCUCUUCCUAUCCUCAUCCUCGUCCUCUUCCUAUCCUCAUCCUCGUCCUCUUCCUAUCCUCAUCCUCGUCCUCUUCCUAUCCUCAUCCUCGUCCUCUUCCUAUCCUCAUCCUCGUCCUCUUCCUAUCCUCAUCCUCGUCCUCUUCCUAUCCUCAUCCUCGUCCUCUUCCUAUCCUCAUCCUCGUCCUCUUCCUAUCCUCAUCCUCGUCCUCUUCCUAUCCUCAUCCUCGUCCUCUUCCUAUCCUCAUCCUCGUCCUCUUCCUAUCCUCAUCCUCGUCCUCUUCCUAUCCUCAUCCUCGUCCUCUUCCUAUCCUCAUCCUCGUCCUCUUCCUAUCCUCAUCCUCGUCCUCUUCCUAUCCUCAUCCUCGUCCUCUUCCUAUCCUCAUCCUCGUCCUCUUCCUAUCCUCAUCCUCGUCCUCUUCCUAUCCUCAUCCUCGUCCUCUUCCUAUCCUCAUCCUCGUCCUCUUCCUAUCCUCAUCCUCGUCCUCUUCCUAUCCUCAUCCUCGUCCUCUUCCUAUCCUCAUCCUCGUCCUCUUCCUAUCCUCAUCCUCGUCCUCUUCCUAUCCUCAUCCUCGUCCUCUUCCUAUCCUCAUCCUCGUCCUCUUCCUAUCCUCAUCCUCGUCCUCUUCCUAUCCUCAUCCUCGUCCUCUUCCUAUCCUCAUCCUCGUCCUCUUCCUAUCCUCAUCCUCGUCCUCUUCCUAUCCUCAUCCUCGUCCUCUUCCUAUCCUCAUCCUCGUCCUCUUCCUAUCCUCAUCCUCGUCCUCUUCCUAUCCUCAUCCUCGUCCUCUUCCUAUCCUCAUCCUCGUCCUCUUCCUAUCCUCAUCCUCGUCCUCUUCCUAUCCUCAUCCUCGUCCUCUUCCUAUCCUCAUCCUCGUCCUCUUCCUAUCCUCAUCCUCGUCCUCUUCCUAUCCUCAUCCUCGUCCUCUUCCUAUCCUCAUCCUCGUCCUCUUCCUAUCCUCAUCCUCGUCCUCUUCCUAUCCUCAUCCUCGUCCUCUUCCUAUCCUCAUCCUCGUCCUCUUCCUAUCCUCAUCCUCGUCCUCUUCCUAUCCUCAUCCUCGUCCUCUUCCUAUCCUCAUCCUCGUCCUCUUCCUAUCCUCAUCCUCGUCCUCUUCCUAUCCUCAUCCUCGUCCUCUUCCUAUCCUCAUCCUCGUCCUCUUCCUAUCCUCAUCCUCGUCCUCUUCCUAUCCUCAUCCUCGUCCUCUUCCUAUCCUCAUCCUCGUCCUCUUCCUAUCCUCAUCCUCGUCCUCUUCCUAUCCUCAUCCUCGUCCUCUUCCUAUCCUCAUCCUCGUCCUCUUCCUAUCCUCAUCCUCGUCCUCUUCCUAUCCUCAUCCUCGUCCUCUUCCUAUCCUCAUCCUCGUCCUCUUCCUAUCCUCAUCCUCGUCCUCUUCCUAUCCUCAUCCUCGUCCUCUUCCUAUCCUCAUCCUCGUCCUCUUCCUAUCCUCAUCCUAUCCUCAUCCUCAUCCUCAUCCUGUCCUCAUCCUCUUUCUCAUCCUCGUCCUCAUCUUAUCCUUAUCCUCGUCCUCGUCAUCAUCCUCCUCUUCAUCCUAUCCAAAUUCACAUCCUCCUACUAUCCUCCUCCUCAUCCUCAUCGUCAUCCUAUCCUCAUCCAAUGCUCAUCCUCAUCCUCACCUACCUCAUCAUCAUUCUACUCCUCAUCCUAUCCUCGUCCUCAUUCUUGUCCUAAUCCUCGUCCUAAUCCACAUCCUAUCCUCAUCCUCAUUCUAGUCCUAAUCCUAUCCUCAUCCUCAUCCUCCUCCUCUUCCUCAUCCUCAUCCUCCUUNNNNNNNNNNNNNNNNNNNNNNNNNNNNNNNNNNNNNNNNNNNNNNNNNNNNNNNNNNNNNNNNNNNNNNNNNNNNNNNNNNNNNNNNNNNNNNNNNNNNACGUCAUCCUAUCCUCAUCCUCAUCCUCAUUCUCGUCCUCAUCCUAUCCUCUACCUCACCCUCAUCCUCCUCCUCAUCCUCCUCUUCAUCAUAUCCUCAUUCUCAUCUUCCUCAUAUCCUCAUCCUCAUCCUCUUCAACAUUCUCAUUCUCAGCCUCAUGCUAUCCUCAUCCUCAUCCUCCUCCUAUCCUAUCUUCAUCCUCGUCCUCAUCAUCAUUCUUAUUCUCAUCCUAUCUUCAUCCUCUUCCUAUCCUCAUCCUCCUCCUCAUCCUCUUCUUCAUCCUAUCCUCAUUCUCAUUCUCGUCCUCAUCCUUUCCUCUUCCUCAUCCUCAUCCUCCUCCUCAUCCUCUUCUUCAUCCUAUCCUCAUUCUCAUUCUCGUCCUCAUCCUUUCCUCUUCCUCAUCCUCAUCCUCCUCCUCAUCCUCUUCUUCAUCCUAUCCUCAUUCUCAUUCUCGUCCUCAUCCUUUCCUCUUCCUCAUCCUCAUCCUCCUCCUCAUCCUCUUCUUCAUCCUAUCCUCAUUCUCAUUCUCGUCCUCAUCCUUUCCUCUUCCUCAUCCUCAUCCUCCUCCUCAUCCUCUUCUUCAUCCUAUCCUCAUUCUCAUUCUCGUCCUCAUCCUUUCCUCUUCCUCAUCCUCAUCCUCCUCCUCAUCCUCUUCUUCAUCCUAUCCUCAUUCUCAUUCUCGUCCUCAUCCUUUCCUCUUCCUCAUCCUCAUCCUCCUCCUCAUCCUCUUCUUCAUCCUAUCCUCAUUCUCAUUCUCGUCCUCAUCCUUUCCUCUUCCUCAUCCUCAUCCUCCUCCUCAUCCUCUUCUUCAUCCUAUCCUCAUUCUCAUUCUCGUCCUCAUCCUUUCCUCUUCCUCAUCCUCAUCCUCCUCCUCAUCCUCUUCUUCAUCCUAUCCUCAUUCUCAUUCUCGUCCUCAUCCUUUCCUCUUCCUCAUCCUCAUCCUCCUCCUCAUCCUCUUCUUCAUCCUAUCCUCAUUCUCAUUCUCGUCCUCAUCCUUUCCUCUUCCUCAUCCUCAUCCUCCUCCUCAUCCUCUUCUUCAUCCUAUCCUCAUUCUCAUUCUCGUCCUCAUCCUUUCCUCUUCCUCAUCCUCAUCCUCCUCCUCAUCCUCUUCUUCAUCCUAUCCUCAUUCUCAUUCUCGUCCUCAUCCUUUCCUCUUCCUCAUCCUCAUCCUCCUCCUCAUCCUCUUCUUCAUCCUAUCCUCAUUCUCAUUCUCGUCCUCAUCCUUUCCUCUUCCUCAUCCUCAUCCUCCUCCUCAUCCUCUUCUUCAUCCUAUCCUCAUUCUCAUUCUCGUCCUCAUCCUUUCCUCUUCCUCAUCCUCAUCCUCCUCCUCAUCCUCUUCUUCAUCCUAUCCUCAUUCUCAUUCUCGUCCUCAUCCUUUCCUCUUCCUCAUCCUCAUCCUCCUCCUCAUCCUCUUCUUCAUCCUAUCCUCAUUCUCAUUCUCGUCCUCAUCCUUUCCUCUUCCUCAUCCUCAUCCUCCUCCUCAUCCUCUUCUUCAUCCUAUCCUCAUUCUCAUUCUCGUCCUCAUCCUUUCCUCUUCCUCAUCCUCAUCCUCCUCCUCAUCCUCUUCUUCAUCCUAUCCUCAUUCUCAUUCUCGUCCUCAUCCUUUCCUCUUCCUCAUCCUCAUCCUCCUCCUCAUCCUCUUCUUCAUCCUAUCCUCAUUCUCAUUCUCGUCCUCAUCCUUUCCUCUUCCUCAUCCUCAUCCUCCUCCUCAUCCUCUUCUUCAUCCUAUCCUCAUUCUCAUUCUCGUCCUCAUCCUUUCCUCUUCCUCAUCCUCAUCCUCCUCCUCAUCCUCUUCUUCAUCCUAUCCUCAUUCUCAUUCUCGUCCUCAUCCUUUCCUCUUCCUCAUCCUCAUCCUCCUCCUCAUCCUCUUCUUCAUCCUAUCCUCAUUCUCAUUCUCGUCCUCAUCCUUUCCUCUUCCUCAUCCUCAUCCUCCUCCUCAUCCUCUUCUUCAUCCUAUCCUCAUUCUCAUUCUCGUCCUCAUCCUUUCCUCUUCCUCAUCCUCAUCCUCCUCCUCAUCCUCUUCUUCAUCCUAUCCUCAUUCUCAUUCUCGUCCUCAUCCUUUCCUCUUCCUCAUCCUCAUCCUCCUCCUCAUCCUCUUCUUCAUCCUAUCCUCAUUCUCAUUCUCGUCCUCAUCCUUUCCUCUUCCUCAUCCUCAUCCUCCUCCUCAUCCUCUUCUUCAUCCUAUCCUCAUUCUCAUUCUCGUCCUCAUCCUUUCCUCUUCCUCAUCCUCAUCCUCCUCCUCAUCCUCUUCUUCAUCCUAUCCUCAUUCUCAUUCUCGUCCUCAUCCUUUCCUCUUCCUCAUCCUCAUCCUCCUCCUCAUCCUCUUCUUCAUCCUAUCCUCAUUCUCAUUCUCGUCCUCAUCCUUUCCUCUUCCUCAUCCUCAUCCUCCUCCUCAUCCUCUUCUUCAUCCUAUCCUCAUUCUCAUUCUCGUCCUCAUCCUUUCCUCUUCCUCAUCCUCAUCCUCCUCCUCAUCCUCUUCUUCAUCCUAUCCUCAUUCUCAUUCUCGUCCUCAUCCUUUCCUCUUCCUCAUCCUCAUCCUCCUCCUCAUCCUCUUCUUCAUCCUAUCCUCAUUCUCAUUCUCGUCCUCAUCCUUUCCUCUUCCUCAUCCUCAUCCUCCUCCUCAUCCUCUUCUUCAUCCUAUCCUCAUUCUCAUUCUCGUCCUCAUCCUUUCCUCUUCCUCAUCCUCAUCCUCCUCCUCAUCCUCUUCUUCAUCCUAUCCUCAUUCUCAUUCUCGUCCUCAUCCUUUCCUCUUCCUCAUCCUCAUCCUCCUCCUCAUCCUCUUCUUCAUCCUAUCCUCAUUCUCAUUCUCGUCCUCAUCCUUUCCUCUUCCUCAUCCUCAUCCUCCUCCUCAUCCUCUUCUUCAUCCUAUCCUCAUUCUCAUUCUCGUCCUCAUCCUUUCCUCUUCCUCAUCCUCAUCCUCCUCCUCAUCCUCUUCUUCAUCCUAUCCUCAUUCUCAUUCUCGUCCUCAUCCUUUCCUCUUCCUCAUCCUCAUCCUCCUCCUCAUCCUCUUCUUCAUCCUAUCCUCAUUCUCAUUCUCGUCCUCAUCCUUUCCUCUUCCUCAUCCUCAUCCUCCUCCUCAUCCUCUUCUUCAUCCUAUCCUCAUUCUCAUUCUCGUCCUCAUCCUUUCCUCUUCCUCAUCCUCAUCCUCCUCCUCAUCCUCUUCUUCAUCCUAUCCUCAUUCUCAUUCUCGUCCUCAUCCUUUCCUCUUCCUCAUCCUCAUCCUCCUCCUCAUCCUCUUCUUCAUCCUAUCCUCAUUCUCAUUCUCGUCCUCAUCCUUUCCUCUUCCUCAUCCUCAUCCUCCUCCUCAUCCUCUUCUUCAUCCUAUCCUCAUUCUCAUUCUCGUCCUCAUCCUUUCCUCUUCCUCAUCCUCAUCCUCCUCCUCAUCCUCUUCUUCAUCCUAUCCUCAUUCUCAUUCUCGUCCUCAUCCUUUCCUCUUCCUCAUCCUCAUCCUCCUCCUCAUCCUCUUCUUCAUCCUAUCCUCAUUCUCAUUCUCGUCCUCAUCCUUUCCUCUUCCUCAUCCUCAUCCUCCUCCUCAUCCUCUUCUUCAUCCUAUCCUCAUUCUCAUUCUCGUCCUCAUCCUUUCCUCUUCCUCAUCCUCAUCCUCCUCCUCAUCCUCUUCUUCAUCCUAUCCUCAUUCUCAUUCUCGUCCUCAUCCUUUCCUCUUCCUCAUCCUCAUCCUCCUCCUCAUCCUCUUCUUCAUCCUAUCCUCAUUCUCAUUCUCGUCCUCAUCCUUUCCUCUUCCUCAUCCUCAUCCUCCUCCUCAUCCUCUUCUUCAUCCUAUCCUCAUUCUCAUUCUCGUCCUCAUCCUUUCCUCUUCCUCAUCCUCAUCCUCCUCCUCAUCCUCUUCUUCAUCCUAUCCUCAUUCUCAUUCUCGUCCUCAUCCUUUCCUCUUCCUCAUCCUCAUCCUCAUCCUCCUUCUCAUCCUAUCCUUACCCUCAUCCACAUUCUCAUCCACAUCUUCUUCCUUAUCCUCAUUCUACUCUUCAUCCUAUGCUCAUUCUCAUUCUCGUCCACAUCCUAUCCUCAUCCUCGUCCUAAUCCACAUCCUAUCCUCAUCCUCAUUCUUGUCCUAAUCCUAUCCUCAUCCUCAUCCUGCCCCUCCUGCUCAUCCUAUCCUCAUCCUCAUUCUUGUCCUAAUCCUAUCCUCAUCCUCAUCCUCCUCCCCCUCCUUAUCCUAUCCUCAUCCUCAUCCUCGUCCGCAUCCUAUUCUCAUGCUCAUUCUCGUCCUCUUCCUCAUCCUCAUCCUCAUCCUUACCCUAUCCUCAUCCUCAACCUAUUCUCUUUCCUUAUCCUCAUCCCCUUCCUCAUCUUCGUCCUCAUCCUAUCCUCAUCCUCAUCCUCUACCUCUCCUCAUUCUCGUCCUAAUCCUAUCCUCAUCCUUAUCCUUGUCCUCAUCCUCAUCCUAUCCUCAUCCUUAUCUUCGUCCUCAUCCUCAUCCUAUCCUCAUCCUCAUUCUCGUCCUAAUCCUAUCCUCAUCCUUAUCCUUGUCCCCAUCCUCAUCCUAUCCUCAUCCUUAUCUUCGUCCUCAUCCUCAUCCUAUCCUCAUCCUCAUUCUCGUCCUAAUCCUAUCCUCAUCCUUAUCCUUGUCCCCAUCCUCAUCCUAUCCUCAUCCUUAUCUUCGUCCUCAUCCUCAUCCUAUCCUCAUCCUCAUUCUCGUCCUAAUCCUAUCCUCAUCCUUAUCCUUGUCCCCAUCCUCAUCCUAUCCUCAUCCUUAUCUUCGUCCUCAUCCUCAUCCUAUCCUCAUCCUCAUUCUCGUCCUAAUCCUAUCCUCAUCCUUAUCCUUGUCCCCAUCCUCAUCCUAUCCUCAUCCUUAUCUUCGUCCUCAUCCUCAUCCUAUCCUCAUCCUCAUUCUCGUCCUAGUCCUAUCUUCAUCCUCAUCCUCAUCCUCGUCCUCAUCCUAUCCUCAUCCUCAUUCUUGUCCUUCUCCUAUCCUCAUCCUCAUCCUCUUCCUCAUCUUUAUUCUAUCCUCAUCCUCAUUCUCAUUCUCGUCCUCAUUCUCAUCCUCUUCCUCUUCCUCAUCCUCAUCCUCAUCCUCAUCCUCGUCCUCAUCCUUUCCUCAUCCUAAUCCUCAUCCUCAUCUUCAUCCUGUCCCCAUUCUCAUCCACCUCCUAUCCUCAUCCUCAUCCUUAUCCUAACCUCAUCCUCAUCCUCAUCCUAUCCUCUUCCUCAUCCCGAUCCUAUCCUCAUCCUCACCCUCAUCCUCAUCCUCGUCCUCCACUUAUCCUCAUCCUCUUGCUCAUCCUCAUCCUCAUCCUAUCGUCAUCCUCAUUCUCGUCCUCCUCUUUUCCUCAUCCUCAUUCUCAUCAUCUUCCUCAUCCUCAUCCUCUUCCUCAUACUCUUCCACAUUCUCAUCCUCAUCCUCUUUCACAUUCUCGUCCUCAUCCUCAUCCUCAUUCUCGUCCUCAUCAUAUCCUUAUCCUCAUCCUUUCCUCACUCUCAUUCUCGUCCUCAUCCUUUCCUCAUCCUCCUCUUCAUCCUAUCCUCAUUCUCAUCCUCCUCCUAUCCUCAUCUCUAAUAUUGAAGUAGUAAUGAAUAUAAGAUCUUAAGAAAAGUAUGCUUAACUUGGCAAAUAAACUAAGUCUUAGUUUAUUUGUUAAGUGUUUGAGACAAGUAAUUUUAUGACUUGAAAUCAAUUUUUAGGUGAUCAAUCUAAAAAGAGCAUUAAUAAUUUCUCAAACAAGUAAAAUUAAUCAAAGCACCUACUUGAAUGAUUAAAAUUCAAACUUUUAGAAUACAAGAAGUAGAAAUACAUAACCAUAUUCAAAAGAAAUUGUUAGGAGCAUGAGCCAUCCAUCCAAGGAUUGGAUGCUUUGAGUUCCAAAUGAGAUUACAAAAUUGAUUUUUGCAUCUCAUUUGCCUCCUCCUUUUCUCCUCUUGAAUUAUAAACUAGAAUUACAAAACUUACUUAAAUAAAGUUCCUAAGAACUAAGAACAAGAAGAGAUAACUUCAGAGAAGAAUUUCUAGGCAAGAUGUGAAUGAAAAUGUGAGAUAAAUGAUGUUUUUUUAUUCUAAUGAAAUGUGCCCUAUUUAUAGAAGUUCCCUGGACCCGCUGAGCUACUUGUUAGCACCGCUCAGCAGCUGACCAAACCCUUCAGCAUGGGUUUGGUCACUUGAUCAAACAGCUUUAUCACCUCCUUAUGCUUGACUCAUCAAAGUUAGUUGUGAGCUACUGGACCAGCUAUUGUGAGCUACUCUAAAAACCUUAUGGUGGGCUACUUGAAGUGAUGUCAUUGGUGACUUCAUGGUUUGCUUGAUGGCUAAGUCAAGUCUGGGUGCACACUGCUUAGCACACCUGUUGCACCGCUAAGCUGCUUGUUCAGCAGAUUUGACCGUGCUGACUGGGACGUGGCCUGGUGCUUGCUGAUCUGGGCAGGAGUCUAGUUCUUCGCUGAGCUGCUUGGUUGCACAGCUAAGGUGCUUGUUGAGCAGCUUGGGCAUGUGCCAAGCUCGUGUCUAGCCGUGUCAAGCUUGAGUUCUGACCGUGUCAAGACUAGUCUGAUGCUAGGCUGAGCGGCCAAGUAGGUCCGUCAGCUACUUGCUUGAGCAGCUUGGUCUAGGUCAGCUUAGCGUGGCUUGGUCCACGCUCAACUUCCUGCUUGAGCACCUUGAUUUUGACUUCUUUUUUUUUACCAUGAGUCUUUUUUCUCUUCUUUUCUUCUUUCUAAAUCCUACAAAAUACAUAAAAAAGAAAUACAAACACAAAUAUACAAUAUUGUGAUAUUUUAUACAAAAAGUAUUGUUUUAAGUUGGUUUUUCUCAAUUAUGCUUAGGACAAGUGCCAUAAAAUGAUGAUGAAAAUUGUAUACUUUUUGCACUUAUCAAUGCCUAGAGCUCAUUGGUCAUAUCUAGACUUGGAUAUAAAUAGAGUCAUUAUUCUAAGUAGUUUGGGAUGUGUGCCUUAGUAAGUGAGUAUAGGUGAGGUGAACCUAGGUGCAAGUCUCUCAAGCCAUUAUAAUUAUCACAUCACAUCCAUGAGACAUAUCAUCUAGUUAAUUGUAUGUUCAUACAUUAAUCACACAUUUAUAUGUGCAUAUUAGGCAUAAUAUAAUUGCUAAAACAUGUAUAGGAGUUAAGCAUAACAUAUGAGAAGUUUACCUUUUGAACCACCUAUUUUAAUAUGCUACUUAAUUCUAUUAACGUGGUGACUUAAUCGAUUAACUCAACUGUUUUUCUGUUAUAUCAGUGUUUCUGUUACAACUAGUUUCUAUUUCAAUUCUGCUGCACUGGUUAAUCGAUUAACGGGUUACCUUAAUCGAUUAACAGGUAUGUUUUGUGUUAUAACUGAUUUCUGUUUUAACUGCUUAAUUGAUUGCAACGAAUCCAACUGUAAAAACUGCCUAAUAUAAGUUGAGGCAACUUCCAGAAAAUUGUAGCAUUGCAUUCCAUUGUAUAGGAUUGAAUUAGAUAGCAUAUUUCAUUUUUGCAUUUUGUUUUUGCAAGAGAGUUGCAUGUGUGAGGAAGAGAGAUUACCAUGCCUUAUCGAGUCUUUGAUUUGCAUACUGUUUUUCAUAUGUUUAGUAUCAUCCUUAUCUUGCUCACAUGUUCAUGCAUUAUUUGUAAAGAUUUUUAGAGAGGUAUAUUGAUUACUGUUUUUGAUUAACUCACAUGUAUUUGAUGACUUGAGUGAAUUGUGAGGGGGUUAGUCUUAAGGUCUUUUAUUGUAAUAUUUCAAGCAUUAUUGUGCUUAUAAUAUCUUGUUGUUGUAAUCUGUUUUUGUAUGAUUUUGAUUGAUCUCUUGGUGUCGUACCACCAUAGAGAUCGGGAUUCUUCACCAAGACUAUGAGGUCUUGAUUUGAGAACAAGAAUCUUGGAUGGGGCUGUUUCGUGAGAAAGGUUUUCUCAGGCGAUAGGUAGAGUCAAACCAAGGGUUAGGUGUUCUAGAUUUCAAGAAAGAAGCGUCCUAUGUUUUGUAAAUUGAAUUCGUGGGUGUGAUCAUACAUACAUUCAAUAUUGUGAAGAAGAAAGUCUCCCAAGACCAGAAGGGGAGGCAUAGAUGUAGUUUGUAGUGGACCGCAAACGAACCAGGAUAAAAAUUUAUUUUUGCACGUUGCUCUCUUCUUAAAUCUUCUUUACUUUUCUUGCUGUUUCAAUUCGAGUUAAUAGAUGAUAUUUUGCGUAAUUGUACCCUUCCAUAUGCUUAUUAAUAAUGCUUAAAAAUAUCUGCUUUAUUUAUGUUCAUUUGAUUUUAAAUAACUGUGCAAUUUGCUGCUCUGAUUAACUGGGAUGUUUCCAGAACUGGAUUUUGGUGUGAGAAGCGAUGAUUUAUAAUCGCUACACCUAUGCUAUUGAUACCUAACAAGUCAAACUGCAAAUAAAGAGAUAAGAUGAUAAAAGCGAGAUAAGAUGAGAAGAAAAAUAAAUUCAUAACAACAAACAAACAAAUACAAUAUUGUAACUUGUAACUAAAUGUGUGUGUAUAUAUAUAAAUGGAGAUCGGUUACAUAACAUAGUUUUUGAGGGAUUGGCCAUUGUUAAGGAUGAAAUCCCUGUAAAUCAGACACUAAAGAAGAUGAUUAUAGGAAGAAGAAAUCUACAGAAUAAUAAAAUCAAUCAUACCACGUAUACAAAAUAAACAAAUCAAUGAAAUACUAAACAAAAAAAUCAAAGAAAAAAUAAGAAAAUAUAUACAUAAUAAACAAAAAAUCAAUUAAAAGAUCUAGAAAAUAAGAACAUUUCUACAAAUAAGAACAUAUCUAGAAAGAAACAAAUGAAUGAAAAAAAUUAAUAAAAAUGCACUUUAAAUAACAUAUUUACAAAAUAAGAACAAAUCUACAAUGAUGAAGAUUGAGUAGCAGUAUACAGAAGCCAUAAUAUUAGGUUUAAACAAAAUGAUGAUUGACGAAUGAAACAUUGGAUUGUAGACAUGUGAGAGAAUAAGAGAUAGAUACGAAACGAAAGGGGGAGAGAAGACGAUGGAGAUAUGAAAUGAUAAUGGAGAGAAAAGUAAUUCACAUGUGAAAAGGGAUUCAAUCCCCUUUAUUGUGAUAUGCAAUUUCUUCAUAGAAUAAAAAACAAAUGAACUCAUUAACCAUUAGUAUUAAAAUAUACAAUGUACAAAAAGGGAAUAUACAAUGUUGAAAGAUACAUAUUAUUAACAUAUACAUGUUUUGGAGGGAAAGUUUCGAUUGAAAGAUUGACAUAUGUCAUGAGAGACAUUUUUUGAUUGAGAGAUUUUGAUUGAGGGAUUGACACAUGUCAUGCGGGACCUUUUUUUGUUAUAUAGAAAAUAGGUAAUAGAUACGAUUAAUAGAAAGAAUGUAACAAAAAUUAUCUAGAUUAUAAAUUUGUUGAAAGUAGAAAAUAAUUUUAUUAAUAUAAAAAAUUAAUUUUACUUGUCAUAAAGAAAUUUGUAUAUUCAAACACAUCAAUAUUGUACUCAUUGUUUAUGAUUUUAUGUUUGAAAAGCUUAAAACAUACAAUUAAAUAUGGAGAAUUUGUGAACAAUUUAGACAAAAUGUUAACUUAUGACAAAAAGUAAAAUGUUGAUCAAAAGGAGAGAAAAAUGUUUGAAAAGUCUUAUAAUGAGUUCUCUAAUUUGUAUAACUCAAUAUUAUUUUAUUCUAAAAUAAUAUCAAUUUCAAAAUUCACAUUAUUAUUAUUUGAUUUUAAAAUAACUCCAAAGACAUAUAAUUGAGAAUUGAAUACACACAAUUGAGAAUUCAAAAUACACAUUAAAUUCAAAUAAAAAAUGAUAUUAUAUGAAUAUUUGAAUAACACAUUUUCCUAUAAAUAAAAUCAACACUAAUGUUACAACUCAUUAUUAUUUUAUUCUAAAAUAAGAUCAAUUUAAAAAUACACAUCAUUAAUAUUUGAUUCUAAAGUAACUCAUAACACAUAAAUUUCAAAUUGUAUGAUAUAAUAUAUCUCCUCUAUAUUCUCUAUAUAAACAUAAAUAUAAAAAUUUCUUUCUCCAUUCUAGUUUUUUUGGGAUCCAUCUCAUAUAGAAAAACGUUGUAUGAACUAUUAAGUUGUUACAUUUGAAAAUGUUGCAGGAAUCUUAUUUCAAUCUCAUACAUUAUUUCCCUUAAAAUUUAAUGUUGAAAAAUUAUUUAAAUUAUAAUAGAAAAUUAAGAGCAUUGAUUUCUAAAAGUAAGAUUGUAUGGAUUUUGAGUCACAUAUUUUGUUGUAAACAUUGUCUGCUCCAUAUACUAUUUGUUUUUCAAUGGUAAAAAAUAUAAAAUUAAAAUAUUUUUAAUUUAUGUUUUACUUUUAUGAUCAAUGAGAAACAAAUGUACAUGAAGUGUUACAGUUUGGGACAGAAAUGGAAAACAAGAGAAUUCUAACAAAAUUUCAGGCAGAAUAUCUUGAAUGAGGAUUUGGGAUUUGCACUACUUUUUUAGAAAGCUGAGAAACUAACAUUAAUAUCUCAUUUAUGUAUUGAAAUUAUUAAAUUAGAUACUCUACCUUUGUGACAAGUGUACAAAGUAAAGACAUUUUUGUCAAUAUGAAGGAUUGUUAGAAUUACUAAAAUGACACUCUUGAUUUGUGGUAAAUAUAAUUUCUACUCUUAGUUUGUUCAACAUAUCUACUAUUUUCAACUCUAAAAAAAGUCAGUCACAUGUAUCAUUUUGUAUUCUUUUAAUUUCUGUCUUUGUUGGUUGAUAUACCUUUUCAAAUUGUCUUCACCAAACUUAUCAUCUUUAACUCUCAAACCAACUCACAGUUAUGAUUUUAUUUUUAUACACUUUCAAUUUUUUCAUCAUUUGUGGUAGAUGUAAUUUCUAUCUUUGUUGGUAGAUAUACUCUUCAAAUUGUAUUCAAUAAAUCUAUAAUCUUCAACUCACUCACAAAUAUGAUUUUCUAUUCUUUUAAUUGUUGUUUUUGUUGGUAGAUAAUCAUAUAAAUUUAACAUAUUUUAUUAGACAAAUCUAUCAUCUUAAACUCUCGAACUCACUCAAAUUUAUGAUUUUCUAUUCUUUUAAUUAGUGUAUUUGUUGGUAGAUAUACUUUAUUAUAUUUCAAUUUUUUCUUUGUAAACUCUUCCAAUUUUUAGUUUGUUGAGGUAUGAUUUUAUUUUUAUACUCUUUCAAUUUUUUCUUUGUAGACUCUUUCAUUUUUAUUUUGUUGAUAAAUUAUUUUAUCAUAUAAAUUUUUGCAUCAUAAAUGUUGUUUUCUUCAUCUUCUUUUGUCUUUGUUUCAGCAUUUACAAAAGACAGAACUCACAUCCUCGAACACAAUUAUUAGAGGUUGCAAUUUAUACUAUUUCAUUUUUUUCUUUGUAGACUCUUUCAAUUUUUACUUUGUUGAGGUAUGAUUUUAUGUUUAUACUCUUUCAAUUUUUUCUUUGUAGACUCUUUCAAUUUUUAUUUUGUUGAUAGAUUUAUUCAUCAUAUAAAUUUUUGUAUCAUAAUUAUUUUUUCUUCAUCUACUUUUGUCUUUGUUUUAGCAUUUAUAGAAGAUAAAACUCAUCUCCUCUAACACAAUUAUUAGAGGUUGCAAUUUCUACAUGUGUACAAAGUAAUAUAUUUUUUAUUAUGUUUUAUUGUUCACACUUGAAUUAUGGAUUUGUCAUGCUAUUUGUUUCAACAUUUGUAGAAGAGAAAACACACCUCCUAGAAUAUAAUGAUUAGAUGUUGCCAAUACUAUUUGAGUGUAAUUAUAACUCUUCCUUAGGAUCCUUUUAAUUGUAACACGAAUUAUGCCCCGAAAAUUACUCCACAAAUAUAACGCCCAAAAAUGGGAAAAAAAAAAGUUUUGAAUAAUGUAACAUAAACUUAUCAUCUUUAUAUUCGUUUCUUUUUCGGGUCAUCACUUUAAGUAACAUACAUUGCGGAAAAUCAAAAACCGUUACCUAAUGGUAACCAAAAAUAACACAAUAUAACUUUGAAGAAUACUUCAUUUAAUAACGGUAAAUAUCUGUACGAAAUGCAAAUUAGAAGAAAUAUUCGCCCAAACUGAAAUUACACAAAAGGCUCAGACAUUCAACACAUCAAAAAGUACCUUACAUAGAUCUAAGUCGCAAGGGCUUGUGUAGGUGUACUGAUCUCCCUCAAUCCUCCAUGCCCCCUCCUGGGAGAUCGAGAAGUGGUAACUCCGAAUCCUGACCGAGCGAUCCAUCUGAACAAAACGCAAUCUGAAGACAAAUAGAAAGAAGAGGGAGUAAGACAUCUAAUGAAUAUUACUCAUAGACGGCGUGGAAUUACACAGAAUAUCACAUCCAGACAGACACGCAUAAUAAACACAAUAUAUACAUCACAUAUAAAAAUGCACAAUGAUGAAUGAUGUUAUAAUCUCAGAUUAUGAGGAUCAAAGUCCACAAUCUCAAUGUAUGAAUGUUAUGCUUGUUUCAUCCAUCCUUUCACCAAUAUCCUCCCANNNNNNNNNNNNNNNNNNNNNNNNNNNNNNNNNNNNNNNNNNNNNNNNNNNNNNNNNNNNNNNNNNNNNNNNNNNNNNNNNNNNNNNNNNNNNNNNNNNNAGUAUGCACAAUAAACGGGUUAGCCGAUUAAAUCUUUUAAUCAUUAUUUUAUAUGAUCGGCCCAACCUAAGACAUCUCCCUGAGGAAUGCUUCUUAUGGGACUCGAUCUUACGUCAACACGUAAAUAGAGGAAUAACAUCCCUACCACUAUGAACAAUUGUUGAAUCACCCUGGACGGCCACAUGGCCAAGCCUCUUACGGUCGGACGACCUCGCUGCGUGGUAUCAUGUAAUCCUUUUUUGGGCAUCGCCCUAAUAACGACAUCACAGUCGGAAACCUUGCCCUAAAUAGGCGCAAGAACAAAUGUACUUGUAUAAGUUUGUUGAUUUUGGGCAUCGGGUUCAAUCAUCUGAGUCACGGUCUUUCCCAAGGGUAAAUACACUUCACACCCAAGCUAGGGCUAUUUUCUAAGCAAUAAAACAAUCACAAUCAGUCAAAAAUAUUGUUUGUCUUUCGCCAAAGCGACCAAUUCAUCAACACAUACUCAAAUUCCUGCAUGGUUCUCGCUCGAGCAAGGGGACUGUCGCUCAAGCUAAAAAUCCACAAAAAACUGGUCAAACUACCUGUCUGGACUUGCCCGGGCGAGGUAUGAUCGUCCGGGCGCCAAAAACGCCCAAAACAGGUUGUCUAGCCCUCGCCCAGACGAGAAACGCUCGCACAAGCGAGGCUGGCUCGCCCAGGCGAGGGAUUGCUCGCCCAAGCGCUAUUUGGAACCAUUCUUUUCUAUUUCUCCCUUUUGGGCUAUCGGAUCAUUUUCCUCCCCCUUUUGGGCUAUCAGAUCGAAACUCUCCCCUCUUUUCAAUCCUAAUGCAUUUUAGUUUCUCGAGUGGUGUUACUUCAUGGAUAGCCACCACAAUACUUGAUAUUUUAAGUUACCCUAAUCAUACAACUUAAGAAAGUAUCCAUACAAAAUCCAGGCACACAAAAUAAUUGAUUAAGUACGGGUUUUCUUAAUACACAAAUAUAACUGCAAACGUUUGAGAUAGUUUAGGAGAUCCGGGUGUCAUAUUCGGACAUCACUAUGUCAUGAUGUAUUCUUCCUCACCUUAGGUUGUCGCGUUCUUGCUUUAUUUUACGAGCAAGUGGGUUGAUCAUCCAACUUCGAAAGCUUCGAAACUAAACACACAAAAAUAAUUUAGUGAUUUGUGAAUCAAUUUUACAUGACAACCCUAAAGUAAAAUCAUGGUUUAAUACUUUAAUCCAUUUAUGAACUCAACGAAUUUCAUCCAUCCGGUCCAAGAUUCAUAUUUUUGAAUAAUCAUUUAUCAUCGAAAGUCUUGUUCCCGAUUUCCAAGAUAAGUUUUUGUAAAGUUUACACUUUUAUCACCUCAUAGAUUUAUAUUUUCAUGGCGACUUUGUAAGCCAUACUUCACCAUUUUAAGGUAAGUUUCUUAAUCCAAGUCUACACUUUUUAAAUCCAUAUCUCCCAAGUUGAUCUUACCACUUUAAAGUAAGUCAUCUUAAGUAGAUUCCAUAUUUUGCAUAAUAGGUUUUCAUGGUCAUUUCAACACAUUCUUGAUAGUGUUGAUCUCAUACUUAAACAACGUUUAAAUCAACAUUUCUUAAGUUACACUUACCACUUUAAAGUAAGNNNNNNNNNNNNNNNNNNNNNNNNNNNNNNNNNNNNNNNNNNNNNNNNNNNNNNNNNNNNNNNNNNNNNNNNNNNNNNNNNNNNNNNNNNNNNNNNNNNNAUCUUAUAACAAAUCAAUCAUCCUUUACUUCAUAACACUUUAAGUUUAUAAAGUCAAGACUUUUAUAAGUCAUCUUUUAUUCCAAAUCAUUACUUGAACUUGGAAGUCAAAGAAUAUCAUCUACUAACCAACUUUUAAACUCAUAAUAUUCUAAAACAACACUUUUUCACAAAACUCAUCCAUAAACACUUUAAAGGUUCCUUUGAUAACAAAAUUAUCCCCUUUGAAACAAAAUCAAACUUCAACAUUAAAAAUAUAUUAUUCUAAACUUGUCCAAGGCUAUGGUUUUUCAAGCCAAAAACAAGUAGAAAAUUCCAAACUUUGCAUGGUUAGGAAAACUCCUUAAAUGUUUCUUUGAUAUACAACCAUCACCUUUAACCAUGUUCGAAUACCAACAAACAAAUAACUUUCUAAACAUUAAAAACAGCCCCGUGAACACAAAGAGUUCAUGGUUUCAAAAUAACUUUCUAAGUUCAAGAAAACGUAUAUUUGGAGUUUUAAAUAUAAAGAGUUAGGAAGAUAUUUAGAACAUUUCAACGGUUGAAAAUGUUCAUAACAUACAUAUAAAUAUCAUACUAAAAUUUCAUAAACAUCUAAUGGUUAGAUGUUAAGAGAUGAAGAAAUCAAAAUGAAAAAUCAUGAAGAACUACCUUGAGAGUUCUUAGAGAAUGCAAAGUGAAGAAGAGUUUGAAAAUGCCAAGGUAUUCUCUUAGCUAGGGUUUGGCUCCUUAAAGAGAGAAAUCAGAUUUGGGGGGAAAAUACAAUGGUUUCUUCCAAAAAGUAGAUGUGUAAGAGGUAGAUGAGUGAUUUAAGGGAUUUUGUGUAAGAGGAUAUGAAUUUUUGCUUGUUCCACAAGCAAGCCUCUUACAUGAAAGCGAUGUGACCUUUUUGGUGAAACAUUCGAAAAUAAACCGUGCUCGAUUAUUGUCGGCUAAUACUCGGUCGGAUAUUAAAAAUCUUCCGACUUCGGUUUACGGUUAGAACUUCGAAACACAGAAUUUGGAGUGAAAAAUAUUUAGAAAUGUGUUCUGGACAAACUUGAUGUCUAUCUUGACUCGAAAUAACAUUUCGAAGCCAAUGGCGAAAUCAGAAUUCGAUUCCGAGUUACGGAACUCAAAAACACGUUCUUGGGCCGAAUUCGAGCGAAUUUGGGUCCGACAGCAGCUCAAAAACUUUCCGUCACAGAAAAUUACAAACAUUUACCAUAAAAUAGGAAAUCACAAAACAUGACUAACACUCAACUACGGUUUAGUCUAAUUCAAUACCGAUUAAUUUCUGAAAUUAAUCGUUGUUAAAAUAAAUAAUUAAUAAAACAUACAUAGAAAAUUCACGGUGUUACAAAUUAUAUAUAUACAUUGUAACAUUCCUUUUUUUAUUAUGAAAAUGUGAAUUUAAUGAGGGAGCAAAAAAUGACAAGCAUUUUGUCCAAGAAUUAUUGGAGGUUUAUGUAAGUUAGUUGACUAUUACUAGAAAUAAGAAGAUUCCCAAGAAAUAAUGUCAAUAUUAUUGAAAUUAAAUUGAGAGAUGUUAAUCUGUUUUCCUCCUUGGCCAAUGGCCAAGAGAAAAAUUAAUUUCAACUUUAAUGCCUAAUUUUAAGGUGAUGAAAUCUGCCAUCAUGUUCCUAUCUCUUAAGAUAUGUUGAGUAUGAACUUCCCAAUUUCUUAUAAGCACAUCACCAAUGUUAUGGAUAACAUGAGUAAGAUAAUGCAAACGAACCUGCAUCCUCUCAAUGAUGAUGUGGACUGCCUCAAGGAAAUCACUUUCCAAGGUUACCAAACGAUAACCUUGAUUUCAAGCCAACCGAAGAUCAUGCUCAAUAGCAAGCAACUCUGCUAGAAUAGGAGACCUAUAUCCAAAGUUUCCCGAGAAUCCUGAUAGUCAUUGACCUUCAUGAUUGCGGAUAAAUCAUCCUCCUUCAAUAGAUUGAUCACGAAUAUUAUAGCUACCAUCUACAUUAAGUUUCACUCUAGCAAUCUUUGGCCAACACCGUUGAGUUCUAGAUAGAGAAACAUCACUAGUAAACCAAUCCUUAUAAUCAUGGUGAAUAUUUCUAGCGACAUAAUUUCAGUCCCAUGGUAUAUUUCCAAAUAUAGUAUUGUUAUGCCAUUUCCAAACCCACCAUAAACCUUCCAAAAAAAAGUCUCCCAUUUUGAGUUCGAGUAUUAUCCACUAGCCAAGACAUGAAGGUGUGACUAUCCUAGAAGUUGUGAUUGUUGAAACCCAAACGAUGCCAUAACAUAGCAGAGUUGUUACAAUCUCUGAAAGUAUGGAGGAGAUCCUCAAUGGCAUUAGUACACCGAGCAUAAAGUUUAUUGGCAAAGAAACAUGAGCACGUAGUUUAUCGUAAAGAAACCUGAGCAUAGAGCUAACAAAGAAAUUAGACUUUUUGUGGUACAUGUAAUCUCCACAACCAACUCCAAUGAUUAUGGUAAGUCAUAACCUCAUCAUUACUCUUAAUCCACAAGUAACCUGAAUUAGUUGUAUAACACCCCGAUGCACUAUUCUCCAAAAUCCAAGAGUUAAUCAUGUUAUUAUCGGAAGACAGAACAAGAAUUGUUUGAAUAACAUCCUUCACAUGUAUAGGAAGCAUAGUAUAAAUAAUGCUAAAAUCCCAUGAACUAUCCUUCCAUAAGUCCUUCACUUGUAGCUGAGUGUCAGAAAUAUUAACAUAAUCCACCAUAGUGCAAAGCUUGCCCAACCCAUACCAAUUGUCAUGCCAUAGGGAUUGGUCACCAUCACCUAACUGCAAUAUGAAACCAUUCCUAAGUUCCACAGUGGCAUUUUCUAUACUCUUCCAGAUAGGAGAAUCAGAAGACCUAUUUAAGGCAUAAACCAUACAACAAUCCUCAAGAUACUUCUCUCUAAGAACCAUGCACCAAAGCUUAUUACUCCCUUGGAUCAUGUUUCAACGCAGUUUUCCCAAAAGAGAUAUAUUAGCCAAACAUGAGUCACGAAUCCCAAGACCACCCUCGUUUUUAUUCUUAGUCAAAACCUCCCAAUUAACCAAGUUGACUCUAUUCGUUGACAUCACCCUCAUAGAAAGUUCAUGGUCAUCCUAUUAAUAUCAUUAUAAAUAUCCUGAGUGAGUCACAUACUCUGCAUGGUAUAGGUUGGUAAGGAAGUAAUAAUCGAUUUAAUAAGAUAAAGUCUACCAGCUUUAUUAAGGAGGUUCGACUUCCACAUGUGCUUUUAAAUUUUUUCCAUCAACGGAUUAAAAACAGAUCUUCGAACCCUCCCUUAAACAAGCAGGAUUCCCAAAUAUUUACCAAGGCUAGAGACAACGCACGUCUUAGAAAGAGACAUAAAGUUAUGUUUCCUCCUCUUGGACACAUAUUUAGAGCAUACAAUUUACUCUUAUAUUAACAAAAUGGAGUUUCUUUGUCAAAUUAUCAUAUUGCAGAAAACAUACUAAAACACCUACAAUGUCCAUUAAUAUGGUUCUAAUACAACAAAUAUUACAUUAACAAUUCAUUAACAUGAACGUUUAACAUAAAACAAAUCAAUGGAGAUUCUAAUAUCAUUAACAUAAACAAUUUUCAUCUUUUGAUUGAUUUAUUAAAAAUUGUAUUGCAGGAAUAUUUGUAACGAGUUUUAUAUCAUGACAAAAAAAAUAGCCCCUUAUAAAUGCAAAUGUCACAAUAUGAAGAUAUCAAUUUUAGUAAAAGCACCAACUCGUUCUAUUCCAUUAAAAAUAUCUAGUGUCCUUCAUUCUCCUUUUGUGGUAGGGAAUUGGAAAUUUAGGUACAUUAUCUAUUUUUUUACCCUUAUAACUACUUUUAACAUUUUCUCAACUUUAAAACUUAGAUUUAAUUUUUUAAAUACAACGUUAUGAUUAUUAGAUUUAAUUAAAUCAUAAUAAUUAGUUUUAUGGGUUAUGAUUGACAUGAUCUAUAACCUUAUGAUUUAUUCAUUUAGUCAAUCUCUCAUAUUUAAUCAUUUUAUUUUUUUUAUCAAAAACCAAAAUUACAUGUUAAUCACAAAAAUGGAAGUCAUAUCUUUAGGGUUUAUAUCACAUCAUUAUUAUUUGAUUUUAAAAUAAAAUCAAUUUUAAAAUGUGCAUAAUUAUUAUUUGAGAAUGAAACAAUAAUAAUUAUGGUUAUUGUGGCUGCAGUUAUUGUAAUUAUGAUACUGUUGCGAUUCAAAUUGCAGUUGUUAUAGUGUGAAAUAUUUCAUAAUUAAAUAAAUAUUUUUUAAAUUAAAUGCAGACUGAUAUCAUCCAAUAUGAUUCGUUGUAGCCUAAUGUAAUCACAUUAUUAUGAUUCACUAUCACACUACAAAUAUAACAAAUAUAGUAAAUAGUUGCGGCUGUCGCCAUAAUGCAAUAUGGCAGAUUUAAAUCAUUUAUCAUUCCUUGAGUUUAGGACUUGGCCUUUUUCUCCAAGUUCAGAUCACAAUUAAAAUUUAGAAAAGUAAAUACUCAGAAUAAGCAAAAAGAGAAAGCGGAAAGCCACCAACCAAAUUCAUUUUAACAUUGUGCACAAUUUAACUGAAAACUGCAGAGGACAACAAUCCAAUAAGAAAAGAUAACAAAUCUAUUCGAUCAUAUCAAACUAAGCAUAUCUUUUCCUUCCACCUAAUAUAUUGAGAAUGCUUAGAAUGUGUAUAAAUAGAUGACAUCCAUCUUCACUUUUACAAUCUUGAGGCACUUGGAACAUUCAGCAACAUGAAUGUGCACUUGUUAGGCUGCUUUGCCUGCACAUAAAACAACCUAAGAUUUUAGACCAAGUUACAUGUUUUUGUUCGUAUAAUUAAGGGUAUCCCCUCAUCCCGUGGAUAAAGAAGUAUGUGUGGUUGUCCUCUCAACAACCGCUGCUCAGAGAAAUCGAUUUUUUUUACCUUUUAGUUAUUUUGGGAUGCAAUAGAGUCUUACAUCACUAAACCAAGUUAUUUAACUCUAAUAAAAUUGUUUUUUGAUAGACAAUAAGAAAGAUGCAAACCUUGAAUGAAGACAUUUAGGAAGUGAAGAAAGAUCCACUCUUGAUAGCAUCUUCAUUAGCAUUACCAAGAGCAGCCUCAUUCAAGUACUUGUCUGCCAAUUGGACUCUCUUCACAUUGUCUUGUUCUUGGACAAGCAUGUUACCAUAUCCCAAGAGAGUCUCCAGUGUCAUCUUUGGCUGGUCAAAAGUUGGAGGUCCUUC